CGGCGCACGGGUGCGUAACGCGUAUGCAACCUACCUCUUACUGGGAGAUAGCCCGGAGAAAUUCGGAUUAAUAUCCCAUAGUACUAUUUGGUGGCAUCACUAGAUAGUUAAAGAUUUAUUGGUAAGAGAUGGGCAUGCGUCCAAUUAGCUAGUUGGUGAGGUAAUGGCUCACCAAGGCUAUGAUUGGUAGGGGGUCUGAGAGGAUGAUCCCCCACACUGGUACUGAGAUACGGACCAGACUCCUACGGGAGGCAGCAGUAGGGAAUAUUGGUCAAUGGGCGAGAGCCUGAACCAGCCAUGCCGCGUGCAGGAUGAAGGCCUUCUGGGUUGUAAACUGCUUUUGAUCGGGAACAAAAAGACCAUGCGUGGUAAAUUGAGUGUACCGAUAGAAUAAGCACCGGCUAACUCCGUGCCAGCAGCCGCGGUAAUACGGAGGGUGCAAGCGUUGUCCGGAUUUAUUGGGUUUAAAGGGUGCGUAGGCGGCCUUAUAAGUCAGUGGUGAAAUACGACAGCUCAACUGUCGAACUGCCAUUGAUA
rnacentral:rRNA from 1 species